GUGCGCCUCUGCACGCAGGCGCCGCCGCCGCCCGGGAGCUGACUUUUGGAGGGUUGAGUUGCAGGCGGCGGGCGCAUCCCAGAGAUGGCGGGGCUGAGAGGGAGGGAAAGAGAGGAGGGGGUGGAGAGGGAGGUGCAGCUUUGCACGGAUGGCCUCAGCGGGAGGCACGGAAAUGCUAGCCGAGCCUGCUGGCGUGAAAGCCCCCGGGGCCUGGCACCCCCCAAAACGACCCCCCACCUCUGCCCCUGCCCCCUUACUCGGAUUACCCACGACUGCCCCUUUCUUCCUGAGUCUACCUCACCUUAUUACCUGUGCUGGCGACCUAAAUUCAAAGUAUUUUGUACGUAUAAUUUCUUUUUCUGAUUUUGCUUUUCUACUGCAUGUCUAGGGGGGAGGGGCCAGCCUGUCCAAACUCCUAUCCAUUUGCGAACCUGCCAUAUGGAAGAGGUAUCUAAGGGGCUCAGAAAGAAAUUAGCGCAGCUCUGUAUCCGUAUAAACUGCAUAACUUUAAAACUCCUUGGACUGAAAUAAUAAUAUGGACAUACACGCAUAGGUACAGGAAAUACAGCCAGUCCACAGCCUUUUCAGAUUGCAGCUGACCGGAAGACAGCCUUCCAUUCAUUCAUUCGGACAGCCUCAGUUGAAGAGCCCUGAAAUAAGAAGUUGGGCAAGAAAAGAAAAAAGUCUCUACACUCGCUGAGAAGAGAUAAACCGAUGUACGGGAGGGAACCAGAGAAUCGGAGUUAGCGUCUGUAAUGCAACUCACACGCAGGCGAAAGUCCUCAGUCCCUUGUGGAUUGAAGUCAAAAAGGAAAAACAAAACUGUCCAGAGACUCUCAGGCCUGACCCUUGGGGGAAAGUUUAAUGUUCUCCAUAGAAUCCUGCUUUUCUUCCUGUUUCCCUUUCUGUGUAAGGAUGGGAAGAACCCUCGAGGCCACAGAUGAAGCAAAAACAGAAGAGCCUCCGAAUGUCCGCCCACCUCCAGGUGCUGACUUUGGUCCAACCCCUGGAGGCAGGACUCUCCUACCAAAGGAGCGCCAGGGAAGCCGUCCUGGAGGAAAGUUUUGAACUUUUAAAGACAAGGAAUCAGCUGACCUCGCUGAGUAGGCGGCCAGGGGAGAAGUUUGAUUCACUUUUUGUGCUGUCAGAACACAGAGCCAUGGAGACAUUUCCAUUAAUCUUGUAAAGUGAUCAGUCACUGGAAGGAUUGAAUUGCAUUUCCUGCCCAGAGAUGUGGAGACAGAUGACCUUUGCAGCGGCCCUCAGACCCCCAGUUCACAGCUGGAGAGAGGAUGUGUCAGCAUUUACUUUCCAGUCUCACCCAGCCCUUUGUUCAGAACUCAAACCCUUUGUGCUCAGGCUGCUGGGGGAUUUUGCAGUGGUUGAUGCAGGGUUUUUUUUUUUUCCCUAACCUCCCACUUCUUACAGCUUCUGAGAAACAAACUCUGUUUGGCAGAAGAUGGUAUCUAAGAGCUGCCCCAGAGGGAGAACCAGAAUAGACAUGGGGAAUUUUGUGAAGCCACUUGGCCUUUAGGCAAUAACCAUUGCCCAUUCCUAGGUUUCCUGAACAGUACAGGCUGACCUGGAGGGAGCCACAAGUCCAACAAAUCAUAAUGCCGCAUGUCUAGGUGGCUCUAUUAAAAGAAAGAGAGAAAGCAAGAAAACAAAGCUUUUCUGUGUAUUAUUUCAGUUCAAAGGCUCCGCUAGAACGAAAGCAUUUACAUAAAGGAACACUGUAAUUCUCAAGAUACAAGACGCGGGCCAGUCUGUUUGCUCACCUGGACAAUGGAAGUUGUAGAAACACUCGUCUCAUGGGUACUGUAUGAGCCAGUGUUAGAAAGGGGCUCAUCCAAUGAUGCUAUUUAAAUGAAACUGACGUUCUGGGCACCACAAGCCUACCAUUUUGAUUUCUUCCAAGUUUAAGGUCCAGAGGGAGAGUCACCUGUGAAGGAUGGAGUAGCGGUUUCCCCAGCCAUAGUCCCUCUUAGCCUGACCUCGCUGCUCUAUAUAUUUUGAGUCCUUUGACUGAAUAUUCUUGUCCCCUGCAGGCCUUUGCACCUGCUGAUUCCUCCCCUCUGCGUUUUAUCCUACUAGCCUCUGGCUCUCUAACAUCUGGCUACUAGAAUCUGCUUGGGUAUCUUAUUUCCUGCCACCUUCUAGUGCUAAGCACAUUAUGUUGUCCUGAGGUUUCUCUAGCAGAUAGCAAAAUGCAAGGAUAUUUAAGUCCUAGAAUGGUGGUGUUGCAUUAGAACUCCAUCUUCCAGGUAUUAUUUGAAUCAUUUCAAGGUUAUUUUGAACGCCUAAUACUUAAUUGCUGUGUAAACAGUUGUUACAAUAUAGUUGUGUUUAGGGAAUGAUGACCCGGCAGAAAAGAUACGGUAGAGGAGAAAAAAAAUUUUUGAAAACCUAUUAAGUAUGGAUUUUUUUUUCUCCCAUUGCUAGACAAACUCUACCACUGAGCUAGUUCCCCAACCCUUUUUCUCAUUUUCUUUUGAAACUCAGUCUCCCUAAAUUGUCCAGGCUAGCCUUCAGCUUAUGAGCCUCAUUCUCGGCUGGAAUUACAGACCUAAGGCCCAGCCAGAUGGGACUCCUUGUGUUAUUGUUAUGCUUCUUAUUUUACAUCUUUACUUGCUUUUGUUUUGUGUGCAGAUGCAGCAUGGCACACAUGGAAAUCAGAGGACUCUGAAGGAAGGAGCCGGUUCUCUCGGAUCGGCUCACCGGGCUGGUGGAGGCAUCUUUAUUCGUCGAGUCAUCUUGCACCCCUAGUUUGUUCUUUAUUGUUGUUUUGAGACAGAGCUUCCCUGUAUAGUUCGCUAUGUUGACCAAACUAUCCUUAAACUCAGAAAGAAGCCCUUGCCCUCGGCCUCAUCAAUGGCAGGACUGCAGCAUAAGCUAGCGCCUAACUCCAGAAGGAAUUCUUUGUUUUCUGAGGUUGGAGAUAAAGUGCUUAGCAUGGAUGAGUUCCUGUGUUCAACCCCUGGGACAAACAAACAAACAAACAUACAAACUAAUAAAUAGGGGCAGGAAAAGCGGCUUAGUGGUUAAGAGUGCUUGCCGAGCAAUGAUGAAUUUUGGAUCCUAACACCUACAUAAGCUGAGCCUGAUCUCACACACACCACUACUGUGCAGGGGUAGAGAUAGAACUGUUGCAGCUCACUGACUGCAAACCUAUCAGGAAAACAGGAGCUUCAACUUCAGAGAGAGAAAGACCCUGACUCAAAGGAUGGGGUGAAGAAUAAGGACACCGUAUGCCCUCCUCUGGGCUCAGUGCGUGUGUGCGUCCAAGCAUCUGUACCUAACACACACACAAUAACCACCCAAUCCACAAAUGCUGAACCUGUGGCAGCGGAGAGAAUUGCAUAUUUCUUGUUGCCUCUGCUGUCGCCAGACUGCCUUGAGAUCAGGGAGAUCCUCCCCCAGGUGCUGAGCUUUCUAGUGCUGAGGAUUGAACCUACGGCACAAACCACAGGUUCAACAUGGAUUGAAAUGGUUUUGCACAUGAUGGGCCAGCACCUGGCUGCGUUCCCCAUCCCUGUGUGUCACCUCAGUCUGUUUACUUUAAAGCUCUAGCUCAAAUGGAGCCCACAACCCUCCCAUUCUCCCCAGCGCCCUCACUAUCCUCCUUCCCACAGUGCUUAGCUUCCUCUCCCUGGAAAAAUAGCUUUUGUCGGUGGUGUCAGUGACUUUAACCCUUCCCAAAGCAACAUUAAUUCACAGAUCAACUCAAAAAACCUGAAGUUGAUACGCGCGCACAGCAGCCUUUACAGGAAACCCUCCGUUCCCCUCCCUUCCUUCCCAUGCCACCUAUUUCUGGCAGAGAACAGACUUUCCCCCUAGGGAGGAUGGAAUGCUCUAAAAAGGACAGUUGGCUCUUCUCCCCGACUCCAAGAGAAACUCUGAACUGUCCAAUAUCUGCCUCUUGUUAUGAGUAAAAAUUCCUUGCAGAAACAGA